rnacentral:rRNA from 1 species
GAGUUUGAUCAUGGCUCAGGAUGAACGUUAGCGGCGUGCCUAACACAUGCAAGUCGAACGAACAGCCAGAAUCUUAGGAAUCUGGCGGGUUAGUGGCGCACGGGUGAGUAACACGUAGGUGACCUGCCCCGAAGUGGGGGACAACCACUGGAAACAGUGGCUAAUACCGCAUGUGCUUAGCCAUUCGGUUGGUUAAGUAAAGCUGAGGCGCUUCGGGAGGGCCUGCGGUCGAUUAGCUAGUUGGUGAGGUAAUGGCUCACCAAGGCGAUGAUCGAUAGGGGCGUGAGAGCGUGACCCCCACCACUGGACGU